rnacentral:lncRNA from 1 species
AGCAAAUAGACAAGAUAUUCAGGCAGAUGGACACAAACAAUGAAGGCAAAAUGUCCCUGGAAGAAUUCAACAAAGGUGCCAAGAGGGACCAUCCAUUGUCUGAUUGCUGCAGUGUGACCCCAGCAGUGCUAGCCAGUUCUGAGGGGAAUAGGCUUUACACAGUUGUGAGAAACACAGGCUUGACCUGCCAUCUUAAGUUUUGCUUGCAAAAGUGGUUUUCUCUGUGAUUUCUCCUGCUCUCUAGGGACCUGGGUCCAAACAGCACAUCACACUCUCCUGGUCUGGCUGGAUGCAGCUCCCUCCUCUAUCUGACCCAAUAGAUGUCCCUCCCCAUCCAGUCCAGGCUGGUUCCUUCCAAGGUUUCAAGUGUUCUCGGCUGUAGGGCUCCUUCCCUCCCCACAGAG